rnacentral:tRNA from 1 species
GGAAGGGUAACAGCUCGUGGUAGAGUGCAUGCUUAGCAUGCAUGAGGUCCUGGGUUCAAUCCCCAGUACCUCCU